GAUUGUCCUGAGGGUCCACCUGUUCCCAUCCCGAACACAGAAGUUAAGCUCAGGUGCGUCGACGAUAGUAUGCGGGUGACUGCAUGUGAAAAUAGAUAACGC
rnacentral:rRNA from 1 species